rnacentral:tRNA from 1 species
GUUUUUCUAAUAUAAGUAGUAUAAUUGACUUCCAAUCAAUAAGUCUGGUCUCUCCAGGAAUAAUA